ACUAUGGAGAGUUUGAUCCUGGCUCAGGAUAAACGCUAGCGGGAGGCCUAAUACAUGCAAGUCGAGCGGUAUAUUACUUUCGGGUAAUAGAGAGCGGCGCACGGGUGAGUAACGCGUACACGACCUACCUACAAGUAAGGGAUAGUCUUGGGAAACUGGGAGUAAUACCAUAUGUGAUUAUAUUUAUGAAGGGUAUAAUUAAAGCUUAGGCGCUUGUAGAUGGGUGUGCGUCUGAUUAGCUAGUUGGAGUGGUAACGGCACACCAAGGCGACGAUCAGUAGGGGGCGUGAGAGCGUGGUCCCCCACACGGGUACUGAGACACGGACCCGACUCCUACGGGAGGCAGCAGUAAGGAAUAUUGGACAAUGGGCGGAAGCCUGAUCCAGCCAUCCCGCGUGCAGGAAGACAGCCCUAUGGGUUUUAAACUGCUUUUGGAAGGGAAGAAGCGUAUCGAUUUAUCGGUAUUUGACGGUACCUUCAGAAUAAGCACCGGCUAACUCCGUGCCAGCAGCCGCGGUAAUACGGAGGGUGCGAGCGUUAUCCGGAAUUACUGGGUUUAAAGGGUGCGUAGGCGGAUAGAUAAGUCAGAGGUGAAAG
rnacentral:rRNA from 1 species